rnacentral:rRNA from 1 species
AUGCUGAAACAGAGGAUUGUUGGUUUGGCGGCAAUCGAGCGGGCAUGAAAGAGGCAAGCAUCCAGGAUCACCUGGCUUCGAGCUGGAGAUGCCAAAACUGCUUUCUUUCAGGAAAAGAUCAAUGGUCGGCGCCGCAAAAACUUCAUUCACGCCCUGAGCUCGAGGGAGGGAGGGAGCAUGGUGACCACGCACGAAGACAAGGCAGAUAUGAUCCAUCAGCAUUUCACACAGCUGUUGUGCAGGGGGAAAACGAGGGGGCAAACCAUCAACUGGGACAGCUUGGAGCUUCCACGGAUCCAAAACGAUGGA